ACUCCUACGGGAGGCAGCAGUAAGGAAUAUUGGACAAUGGGCGAAAGCCUGAUCCAGCCAUGCCGCGUGAAGGAUUAAGGUCCUCUGGAUUGUAAACUUCUUUUAUUUGGGACGAAAAAGGGAAUUCUUUCCCACUUGACGGUACCAAGUGAAUAAGCACCGGCUAACUCCGUGCCAGCAGCCGCGGUAAUACGGAGGGGUGCAAGCGUUAUCCGGAUUCACUGGGGUUUAAAGGGUGCGUAGGCGGGGUAUGUAAGUCAGUGGUGAAAUCUCGGAGCUUAACUCCGAAACUGCCAUUGAUACUAUAUAUCUUGAAUAUUGUGGAGGUUUGCGGAAUAUGUCAUGUAGCGGUGAAAUGCUUAGAUAUGACAUAGAACACCUAUUGCGAAGGCAGCAGGCUACACAUAUAUUGACGCUGAGGCACGAAAGCGUGGGGAUCAAACAGGAUUAGAUACCCUGGUAGGAUAGCG
rnacentral:rRNA from 1 species